UGGGGAAUCUUGCACAAUGGGCGAAAGCCUGAUGCAGCGACGCCGCGUGCGGGAUGAAGGCCUUCGGGUUGUAAACCGCUUUCAGCAGGGACGAGGCCGCAAGGUGACGGUACCUGCAGAAGAAGCCCCGGCUAACUACGUGCCAGCAGCCGCGGUAAUACGUAGGGGGCAAGCGUUGUCCGGAAUUAUUGGGCGUAAAGCGCGCGCAGGUGGUUUAGAAAGUCUGAUGUGAAAGCCCACGGCUCAACCGUGGAGGGUCAUUGGAAACUAAUAAACUUGAGUGCAGGAGAGAAAAGUGGAAUUCCUAGUGUAGCGGUGAAAUGCGUAGAGAUUAGGAGGAACACCGGUGGCGAAAGCGGCUUUUUGGCCUGCAACUGACACUGAGGCGCGAAAGCGUGGGGAGCAAACAGG
rnacentral:rRNA from 1 species